UACGGAGGGUGCAAGCGUUAUCCGGAUUCACUGGGUUUAAAGGGUGCGUAGGUGGGUCUGUAAGUCCGUGGUGAAAUCUCCAAGCUUAACUUGGAAACUGCCAUGGAUACUAUAGGUCUUGAAUACCGUGGGGGUGAGCGGAAUAUGUCAUGUAGCGGUGAAAUGCUUAGAUAUGACAUAGAACACCGAUAGCGAAGGCAGCUUGCUACACAAUCAUUGACACUGAGGCACGAAAGCGUGGGGAUCAAACAGG
rnacentral:rRNA from 1 species